rnacentral:rRNA from 2 species
GGGUUGUGAGGUUAAGCGACUAAGCGUACACGGUGGAUGCCCUGGCAGUCAGAGGCGAUGAAGGACGUGCUAAUCUGCGAUAAGCGCCGGUAAGGUGAUAUGAACCGUUAUAACCGGCGAUUUCCGAAUGGGGAAACCCAGUGUGACUCGUCACACUAUCAUUAACUGAAUCCAUAGGUUAAUGAGGCGAACCGGGGGAACUGAAACAUCUAAGUACCCCGAGGAAAAGAAAUCAACCGAGAUUCCCCCAGUAGCGGCGAGCGAACGGGGAGGAGCCCAGAGCCUGAAUCAGCAUGUGUGUUAGUGGAAGCGUCUGGAAAGGCGCGCGAUACAGGGUGACAGCCCCGUACACAAAAGCGCAUGUGCUGUGAGCUCGAUGAGUAGGGCGGGACACGUGGUAUCCUGUCUGAAUAUGGGGGGACCAUCCUCCAAGGCUAAAUACUCCUGACUGACCGAUAGUGAACCAGUACCGUGAGGGAAAGGCGAAAAGAACCCCGGCGAGGGGAGUGAAAAAGAACCUGAAACCGUGUACGUACAAGCAGUGGGAGCACCCUUUGGGGUGUGACUGCGUACCUUUUGUAUAAUGGGUCAGCGACUUAUAUUCUGUAGCAAGGUUAACCGAAUAGGGGAGCCGGAGGGAAACCGAGUCUUAAUUGGGCGUUAAGUUGCAGGGUAUAGACCCGAAACCCGGUGAUCUAGCCAUGGGCAGGUUGAAGGUUGGGUAACACUAACUGGAGGACCGAACCGACUAAUGUUGAAAAAUUAGCGGAUGACCUGUGGCUGGGGGUGAAAGGCCAAUCAAACCGGGAGAUAGCUGGUUCUCCCCGAAAGCUAUUUAGGUAGCGCCUCGUGAAUUCAUCUCCGGGGGUAGAGCACUGUUUCGGCUAGGGGGCCAUCCCGGCUUACCAACCCGAUGCAAACUGCGAAUACCGGAGAAUGUUAUCACGGGAGACACACGGCGGGUGCUAACGUCCGUCGUGAAGAGGGAAACAACCCAGACCGCCAGCUAAGGUCCCAAAGUCAUGGUUAAGUGGGAAACGAUGUGGGAAGGCCCAGACAGCCAGGAUGUUGGCUUAGAAGCAGCCAUCAUUUAAAGAAAGCGUAAUAGCUCACUGGUCGAGUCGGCCUGCGCGGAAGAUGUAACGGGGCUAAACCAUGCACCGAAGCUGCGGCAGCGACGCUGAUGCGUUGUUGGGUAGGGGAGCGUUCUGUAAGCCUGCGAAGGUGUGUCGUGAGGCAUGCUGGAGGUAUCAGAAGUGCGAAUGCUGACAUAAGUAACGAUAAAGCGGGUGAAAAGCCCGCUCGCCGGAAGACCAAGGGUUCCUGUCCAACGUUAAUCGGGGCAGGGUGAGUCGACCCCUAAGGCGAGGCCGAAAGGCGUAGUCGAUGGGAAACGGGUUAAUAUUCCCGUACUUGGUGUUACUGCGAAGGGGGGACGGAGAAGGCUAUGUUGGCCGGGCGACGGUUGUCCCGGUUUAAGCGUGUAGGUGUGUGUUCCAGGUAAAUCCGGUUCACUUUAACACUGAGGCGUGAUGACGAGGCACUACGGUGCUGAAGCAACAAAUGCCCUGCUUCCAGGAAAAGCCUCUAAGCAUCAGGUAACAUCAAAUCGUACCCCAAACCGACACAGGUGGUCAGGUAGAGAAUACCAAGGCGCUUGAGAGAACUCGGGUGAAGGAACUAGGCAAAAUGGUGCCGUAACUUCGGGAGAAGGCACGCUGACACGUAGGUGAAGUGAUUUACUCAUGGAGCUGAAGUCAGUCGAAGAUACCAGCUGGCUGCAACUGUUUAUUAAAAACACAGCACUGUGCAAACACGAAAGUGGACGUAUACGGUGUGACGCCUGCCCGGUGCCGGAAGGUUAAUUGAUGGGGUCAGCGCAAGCGAAGCUCCUGAUCGAAGCCCCGGUAAACGGCGGCCGUAACUAUAACGGUCCUAAGGUAGCGAAAUUCCUUGUCGGGUAAGUUCCGACCUGCACGAAUGGCGUAAUGAUGGCCAGGCUGUCUCCACCCGAGACUCAGUGAAAUUGAACUCGCUGUGAAGAUGCAGUGUACCCGCGGCAAGACGGAAAGACCCCGUGAACCUUUACUAUAGCUUGACACUGAACAUUGAGCCUUGAUGUGUAGGAUAGGUGGGAGGCUUUGAAGUGUGGACGCCAGUCUGCAUGGAGCCGGCCUUGAAAUACCACCCUUUAAUGUUUGAUGUUCUAACGUGGACCCGUGAUCCGGGUUGCGGACAGUGUCUGGUGGGUAGUUUGACUGGGGCGGUCUCCUCCUAAAGAGUAACGGAGGAGCACGAAGGUUGGCUAAUCCUGGUCGGACAUCAGGAGGUUAGUGCAAUGGCAUAAGCCAGCUUGACUGCGAGCGUGACGGCGCGAGCAGGUGCGAAAGCAGGUCAUAGUGAUCCGGUGGUUCUGAAUGGAAGGGCCAUCGCUCAACGGAUAAAAGGUACUCCGGGGAUAACAGGCUGAUACCGCCCAAGAGUUCAUAUCGACGGCGGUGUUUGGCACCUCGAUGUCGGCUCAUCACAUCCUGGGGCUGAAGUAGGUCCCAAGGGUAUGGCUGUUCGCCAUUUAAAGUGGUACGCGAGCUGGGUUUAGAACGUCGUGAGACAGUUCGGUCCCUAUCUGCCGUGGGCGCUGGAGAACUGAGGGGGGCUGCUCCUAGUACGAGAGGACCGGAGUGGACGCAUCACUGGUGUUCGGGUUGUCAUGCCAAUGGCACUGCCCGGUAGCUAAAUGCGGAAGAGAUAAGUGCUGAAAGCAUCUAAGCACGAAACUUGCCCCGAGAUGAGUUCUCCCUGAGACUUAGAGUCUCCUGAAGGAACGUUGAAGACGACGACGUUGAUAGGCCGGGUGUGUAAGCGCAGCGAUGCGUUGAGCUAACCGGUACUAAUGAACCGUGAGGCUUAACCUUACAACGCCGAAG